CAUUAUUGAAUGAACUUGGUGUGGUUGUUGCUGGCCCUUUCGGGGGCAUGUGCACACCCAUCAUCCUCAUCUCUCCACCUGUGCACCUCUUGUAGACUUGGAUUGACUUUCCGAGGCAACUCGGUCGGGAGGACUUGCUGGCAUUAGCUGGCUUUCCUUGCAUUUCCAAGUCUAUGUUUUUUCAUAUACCCCAUUGAAUGUAGCAGAAUGUAACAUAUUGGGCCUUUGUGCCUAUAAAAACUUAUACAACUUUCAGCAACGGAUCUCUUGGCUCUCGCAUCGAUGAAGAACGCAGCGAAAUGCGAUAAGUAAUGUGAAUUGCAGAAUUCAGUGAAUCAUCGAAUCUUUGAACGCACCUUGCGCUCCUUGGUAUUCCGAGGAGCAUGCCUGUUUGAGUGUCAUUAAAUUCUCAACUAUUAUCAGCUUUUGCUGAUGAUGGCUUGGAUAUGGGGGUUUUAUUUUGCUGGCUUUCACAGAAUGUCAGCUCCCCUUAAAUGCAUUAGCCGGUGCCCCGCGUGGACUGUCUAUUGGUGUGAUAAUUAUCUACGCCGUGGACAUCUACAAUCAUAUGGGUUUGCACUGCUUCCAACCGUCUGUUUACUCAGACAAUACAUGACAAUUUGACCUCAAAUCAGGUAGGACUACCCGCUGAACUU
rnacentral:rRNA from 1 species